GCUGGUCCUGCCCGUGCAGCGAAGCUAAUCGUGGUUCCUCUUCAGUUUAGGCACAAGCGCUACCUUGCCUUGGCCGUCGCAAUGAUUUCCUGUAUUGAAUACCUACUAAAUGGAAUUCGAUCGACAAUUACCGAACGAUCGCCUAAGGCCGCCCACGCUGGCGGCUGCGAGUGAUACCUAAAGCAAGAUUUGUGAUCCUCGAUCCGCUCGUCUUCGGCGUAGCUAUCGAGGCCCAUGUUUCUGUGCUCGUGCUGAGGGAUUCAGAAAAUGCGGUUGGCAAGGUCUUUGACCCUCUUUCGCCACAUGUAUUGACAACAUCCAAACGACUGUCGAUGGUGCGAUGGCCUUGCGGCCGAGCGCCUCGAUGUCCGUGAGGAAUGCUACCU
rnacentral:misc_RNA from 1 species